CCUACGGGAGGCAGCAGUGGGGAAUAUUGCACAAUGGGGGAAACCCUGAUGCAGCGACGCCGCGUGAGUGAAGAAGUAUUUCGGUAUGUAAAGCUCUAUCAGCAGGGAAGAAAAUGACGGUACCUGAUUAAGAAGCCCCGGCUAACUACGUGCCAGCAGCCGCGGUUAUACGUAGGGGGCAGGCGUUAUCCGGAUUUACUGGGUGUUAAGGGAGCGUAGACGGCAGAACAAGUCUGGAGUGAAAUGCCGGGGCUUAACCCCGGAACUGCUUUGGAAACUGUGCAGCUAGAGUGCAGGAGAGGUGAGUGGAAUUCCUAGUGUAGCGGUGAAAUGCGUAGAUAUAAGGAGGAACACCAGUGGCGAAGGCGGCUUACUGGACUGUAACUGACGUUGAGGCUCGAAAGCGUGGGGAGCAAACAGGAUUAGAUACCCCGGUAGUC
rnacentral:rRNA from 1 species